CUAAACGACUCUCGGCAACGGAUAUCUCGGCUCUUGCAUCGAUGAAGAACGUAGCGAAAUGCGAUACUUGGUGUGAAUUGCAGAAUCCCGUGAACCAUCGAGUCUUUGAACGCAAGUUGCGCCUGAAGCCAUCAGGUUGAAGGCACGUCUGCCUGGGCGUCAUGCAU
rnacentral:rRNA from 1 species